AUUUUGGCGGGAAAAGGUUGCCCCGUACCCGGAAGUGGUGAAGCGUUUGAAUUGCGUGAAGGUCGCGAGCAAAUGGCGACCCGCCUCAGGUUGUUUUUUUUCAAAGGAGAAACGUUUGUGGCGGGGCUCAGCGCGUCCAAAUGCGGACUUUGUGCUGGGUUUUCGCUCUCCCGACGAUUGGAGGCAGCUGUGCGCACUUGAUGGGGGAUCCAUUAAAUGCGCACAGGUGGCCUUAAUGACACAAGCAGCAAAAUGGCGGCUGGCUGGCACGCGUUGACUCAGCUCAGCAAGUUUCUCACUUCGAAGGGCGAGAGCAGCGUUCCGGCGAAGGUUUGAGGGCGGAUGAGGAGACUGCCGGACGACGGGACGAGCGGAAGGAAAAAUUCACCAGUGCGGGAGUCGAGCAGCACACGAGUUAGCUUGUUGGGGGGCAGAGUACUGGGCUUUGUGGCACACCUUGUGUAGCAGUCUGGCAAAUUCGAGAGUUGUUUGCAGGAUCCUGCUUGAGUUGGUCGGCUAGUUGUGUGGCUCGUCUCCGUCCAGAGUAGUUUUGUGGGUGACUUUCGGCGGAAGAUGCGCCGACUGGAGCGAAGGGUGACACUGAAGAAGUCAAGUGAAAGACAAUUUGUGAUGCAGGAUUGUGUCUGAUUCGGGUAAUUAGCCAAAAAGUUAAAUGCGUGUUGUCUGCCUUUUUGUUUUCGAGGGCGGAAGACGUGCAGAACCACGGGACGGGUCGGGCCCAGGUAACGACGGCGCACAUCGACCGUUUUCUAUCACAGUUGCAGCGGAAUCGACCAGAAAAAGGAGGCGAGCGUUCAUUGAAGUGUUGAGUGGGAGGCGGCAAGCGUUGGAGGAGGUCUGCCAGAGAGCUUCGUGGCCUGGGUGAAGACGACGCGUGGCCAAGCAGCUCAACGGGGAAGGACAAAUUGUCUGGAGAAGACCCGGCACGGGUCAAUAAAAGACGUCAUCACCAGUGUGCCCCCCCCCCCAAGCAACCAUCCCGAAACAAAGUCGCCGACGCUCCAUUGCUUGCCGAGCCGAGCGCCAACUGGAGGGUUGUCAGAGGAGGUCAAGGGAAGACGCCACUCAAGCGGUUUGACCGAGGCGCCUGUGGACAAACAAAAGUGACCAGCAGGGGGCGGAGUACUGGACUUUGUGGGUGGUGGAAAUGCAGAAUCUGGCAACGCACCAGGGUCAGCGGUUCUUACAGACCAAUCAGAAUCAUCUCGAUGUAGUUUGCGUGGCUCAAGUGGACGGGGAGGCCGCAAGAGGAUUUUGGAUGCGGAGCUGUGCAAGUCCUGGAGGAGGAGAGUCGGCAGCAUUUGGACCCCCCCCCCCCCAACCAAGUCUUUUGAGGUGCAGUCCACUUAAAUUUGCAAAACGCAAAUGGGGUCGAAGCGCCAACGAAGGGAAGUAUCUUUCUUGCACUUGCUGUUUGUUGCCACUAAUUCACGGGGGGGGGGGGGGGUGCACUGACUCACAUUUGUCAUUUUUGAACUGUUUUAUUUAGACUGGUACUUUUGAAUAAGUGAACUCGGUUUGGCCUUUUGAGCUGCACUCCGU